rnacentral:rRNA from 1 species
AACGAACGCUGGCGGCAGGCUUAACACAUGCAAGUCGAGCGCCCCGCAAGGGGAGCGGCAGACGGGUGAGUAACACGUGGGAAUCUACCCAUCCCUACGGAACAACUCCGGGAAACUGGAGCUAAUACCGUAUACGCCCUUUGGGGGAAAGAUUUAUCGGGGAUGGAUGAGCCCGCGUUGGAUUAGCUAGUUGGUGGGGUAAAGGCCUACCAAGGCGACGACCCUUAGCUGGUCUGAGAGGAUGAUCAGCCACAUUGGGACUGAGACACGGCCCAAACUCCUACGGGAGGCAGCAGUGGGGAAUAUUGGACAAUGGGCGCAAGCCUGAUCCAGCCAUGCCGCGUGAAUGAUGAAGGCCUUAGGGUUGUAAAGUUCUUUCACCGAUGAAGAUAAUGACGGUAGUCGGAGAAGAAGCCCCGGCUAACUUCGUGCCAGCCGCCGCCGUAA